rnacentral:rRNA from 1 species
UACGUAGGGUGCGAGCGUUAAUCGGAAUUACUGGGCGUAAAGCGUGCGCAGGCGGUUUUGUAAGCCAGAUGUGAAAGCCCCGGGCUUAACCUGGGAAUGGCAUUUGGGACUGCAAGGCUUGAGUGCGGCAGAGGAGACUGGAAUUCCUGGUGUAGCAGUGAAAUGCGUAGAUAUCAGGAGGAAUACCGAUGGCGAAGGCAGGUCUCUGGGCUGACACUGACGCUCAUGCACGAAAGCGUGGGAGC